rnacentral:lncRNA from 1 species
GUUUAUCUAAAACUUGUUGUCUAUUGUAUUCUAUCAGAUUUUUCAAUAUUGAGGACUAAGGAUAUAAUUUUUUCAUCAUUAUCUUAGUCAUAAUAUUCUUUACUGGGCUAGUUGUGCUUACCUUUUUUCUUUUGGUUCCAUUGUUCUUCUCAAGAGGUGAGAAUGUAGCUGGGACUAGUCGGGGAGUGGAGUAAUGGUCCAAGAUGGUUAUUAUAACAGUCCUCACUAUUUUGUAAAAUAGUGUGACAAUAAUUGUAACGAGGACAUUAUUUGAGUUUGGAUAUUGUCUACUGUAAG